UACCAGCUCUCCGAGUGGUAGGGAUGGUUAUUGGGCUUAAAGCGUCCGUAGCCGGCUUAGCAAGUCUCCUGUUAAAUUCAGCGACCUAAUCGUUGAGCCGCGGGAGAUACUACUAGGCUAGGAGGCGGGAGAGGUCAACGGUACUUCCGGGGUAGGGGUGAAAUCCUAUAAUCCCGGGAGGACCACCAGUGGCGAAGGCUGUUGACUAGAACGCGCUCGACGGUGAGGGACGAAAGCUGGGGGAGCGAACCGGAUUAGAUACCCGGGUAGUCCCAGCUGUAAACGAUGCGAGCUAGGUGUUGGGGUGGCUACGUGCCACUUCAGUGCCGCAGGGAAGCCAUUAAGCUCGCCGCCUGGGGAGUACGGCCGCAAGGCUGAAACUUAAGGAAUUGGCGGGGAGCACCACAAGGCGUGAAGCUUGCGGUUC
rnacentral:rRNA from 1 species